rnacentral:tRNA from 1 species
GCCGCUAUAGCUCAGAGGCAGAGCGCUGGUCUUGUAAACCAGCGGUCGUGAGUUCGAUCCUCACUGGCGGCU